rnacentral:rRNA from 1 species
ACGUAGGAUGCGAGCGUUGUCCGGAAUCACUGGGUGUAAAGGGAGCGCAGGCGGGUCGGUAAGUCAGUGGUGAAAUUCUCAGGCUUAACCUGGGGACUGCCACUGAUACUGCUGAUCUUGAGUACAGAAGAGGUGGAUGGAAUUCUUGGUGUAGCGGUGAAAUGCGUAGAUAUCAAGAAGAACACCGAUGGCGAAGGCAGUUCACUGGUCUGUUACUGACGCUCAGGCUCGAAAGCGUGGGGAUCAAACAGGAUUAGAUACCCUGGUAGUCCACGCCUUAAACGAUGGAUGCUCGAUGUCGGCCCGCAAGGGUCGGUGUCUAAGCUAACGCAUUAAGCAUCCCACCUGGGAAGUACGAUCGCAAGGUUG